GUCGAACGAAACUUCUUUAUCACCGAGUGCUUGCACUCACCGAUAAAGAGUUGAGUGGCGAACGGGUGAGUAACACGUGGGCAACCUGCCCAAAAGAGGGGGAUAACACUUGGAAACAGGUGCUAAUACCGCAUAACCAUAGUUACCGCAUGGUAACUAUGUAAAAGGUGGCUAUGCUACCGCUUUUGGAUGGGCCCGCGGCGCAUUAGCUAGUUGGUGGGGUAAAGGCUUACCAAGGCAAUGAUGCGUAGCCGAACUGAGAGGUUGAUCGGCCACAUUGGGACUGAGACACGGCCCAAACUCCUACGGGAGGCAGCAGUAGGGAAUCUUCCACAAUGGGCGAAAGCCUGAUGGAGCAACGCCGCGUGGGUGAAGAAGGUCUUCGGAUCGUAAAACCCUGUUGUUAGAGAAGAAAGUGCGUGAGAGUAACUGUUCACGUUUCGACGGUAUCUAACCAGAAAGCCACGGCUAACUACGUGCCAGCAGCCGCGGUAAUACGUAGGUGGCAAGCGUUAUCCGGAUUUAUUGGGCGUAAAGGGAACGCAGGCGGUCUUUUAAGUCUGAUGUGAAAGCCUUCGGCUUAACCGGAGUAGUGCAUUGGAAACUGGGAGACUUGAGUGCAGAAGAGGAGAGUGGAACUCCAUGUGUAGCGGUGAAAUGCGUAGAUAUAUGGAAGAACACCAGUGGCGAAAGCGGCUCUCUGGUCUGUAACUGACGCUGAGGUUCGAAAGCGUGGGUAGCAAACAGGAUUAGAUACCCUGGUAGUCCACGCCGUAAACGAUGAAUGCUAAGUGUUGGAGAGUUUCCGCCCUUCAGUGCUGCAGCUAACGCAAUA
rnacentral:rRNA from 1 species